rnacentral:rRNA from 1 species
GACGAACGCUUGCGGCGUGCCUAAGAAAUGCAAGUCGAACGGACAGUGGCUUCGGUUACUGUUAGUGGCGAACGGUCGCGUAACACGUAAGAAACCUGCCUUGAAGCGGGGGAUAACAAUCCGAAAGGAUUGCUAAUACCGCAUGUGGCCAAUCGGGGGCAUCCCUGAUUGUCUAAAGAUUUAUCACUUCAAGAUGGUCUUGCGGCCUAUCAGCUAGUUGGUGAGGUAACGGCUUACCAAGGCGACGACGGGUAGCUGGUCUGAGAGGACGAUCAGCCGGAUUGGGACUGAGAUACGGCCCAGACUCCUACGGGGGCAGCAAUAGGAAUCUUGCACAAUGGGCGAAAGCCUGAUGCAGCGACGCCGCGUGAAGGAUGAAGGUUCUCGGGAUCGUAAACUUCUUUUAAGUGGGAAG